AUUGAACGCUGGCGGCAGGCCUAACACAUGCAAGUCGAACGAGUGGCGGACGGGUGAGUAAUGUCUGGGAAACUGCCCGAGGGAGGGGGAUAACUACUGGAAACGGUAGCUAAUACAGCAUACCAUCGGAUGUGCCCAGCUGGGAUUAGAUAGUAGGUGGGGUAACGGCGCACCUAGGCGACGCACCCUAGCUGGUCUGAGAGGGUGACCAGCCACACUGGAACUGAGACACGGUCCAGACUCCUACGGGAGGCAGCAGUGGGGAAUAUUGCACAAUGGGCGCAAGCCUGAUGCAGCCAUGCCGCGUGUAUGAAGAAGUCCUUCGGGUUGUAAAGUACUUUCAGCGAGGAGGCGUUACUCGCAGAAGAAGCACCGGCUAACUCCGUGCCAGCAGCCGCGGUAAUUC
rnacentral:rRNA from 1 species